CAGUAGCCGCGGUAAAACGAAGGGGGCUAGCGUUGCUCGGAAUUACUGGGCGUAAAGGGAGCGUAGGCGGACAUUUAAGUCAGGGGUGAAAUCCCAGAGCUCAACUCUGGAACUGCCUUUGAUACUGGGUGUCUUGAGUGUGAUAGAGGUAUGUGGAACUCCGAGUGUAGAGGUGAAAUUCGUAGAUAUUCGGAAGAACACCAGUGGCGAAGGCGACAUACUGGAUCAUUACUGACGCUGAGGCUCGAAAGCGUGGGGAGCAAACAGGAUUAGAUACCCCUGUAGUCCCUGUCUCUUAUAC
rnacentral:rRNA from 1 species